GUAAAGUCAGAUGUAUAUGUAGAGGUUAGCUCAUUGAAGACUGGUUUGAAGAUGACAAAAAUAUCAUGCGUCUUUCUUAUAUGGGCCCUGCUGUUCUUCUUAGAUAUUCAUACAGGUACAGACUGUGCCAGCGCUCACCAUCACAGUCUGGUAAAAGAGUUCAGUCACUAUGACAAUAAAGAAACAAAAAACAAACAGGGUCGAUUUAAAUGUGGUUUUUGCAAAAGAGUCGUUGGAAAAAUAUUAGCUAUUAUUGGAAAACAAAUUUCCAAGGACCAGACUGGUCGGCAGCUUAAUAACAUCUGUAGAAAAAUAAAAAUACCUUUCUGUAGAAGAUUUGUAAACAAAUUUAAAAACAAUCUGAUCAAUGCCCUGUCUGCUGGAGGUCAUGCACAUACCAUCUGUGUCAAAUUAAGAUUGUGCAAAUAGAUAUACAUGUAACAGUAAUUAGAUUUCAGAUGUAUGUCAUGUAUAAAAAUAAUAUAUUUGUGGUCGUUUAUAUGUGUUUAGGUUGGGACUAAAGCUUUGUUCAGUAAUUCUUUUUUUAAACUAAUAUAAUUUUUAAACUGUAAUUUGGGUAGUCUUUAUUAAGAUAAAUCCCUCCGUAGUUAAGUCACAUUUCUUUUUGUGUGUGGUUCUCCUGCAUGAUAUAAACUACAUUUUGACAUGCUUAUAAGAAAUAUGUGGUCGUUUCUGUGUU